rnacentral:rRNA from 1 species
AGAGUUUGAUCAUGGCUCAGGAUGAACGCUGGCGGCGUGCCUAACACAUGCAAGUCGAGCGAGAUGUAUAUGGACGAAACUUCGGUCUAGGAAAUAUAUUGACAGCGGCGGACGGGUGAGUAACGCGUAGGCAACCUGCCCUUAACACAGGGAUAGCCUCGGGAAACCGGGAUUAAAACCUGAUAAUGCCAAAUAGUCACAUGGCUGUUUGGCCAAAGAUUCAUCGGUUAAGGAUGGGCCUGCGUCUGAUUAGUUUGUUGGUGGGGUAACGGCCUACCAAGACUACGAUCAGUAGCCGACCUGAGAGGGUGAUCGGCCACAUUGGAACUGAGACACGGUCCAAACUCCUACGGGAGGCAGCAGUGGGGAAUAUUGCACAAUGGGCGAAAGCCUGAUGCAGCAACGCCGCGUGAGCGAUGAAGGCCUUUGGGUCGUAAAGCUCUGUCCUUGGGGAAGAAAAAAAUGACGGUACCCAAGGAGGAAGCCCCGGCUAACUACGUGCCAGCAGCCGCGGUAAUACGUAGGGGGCAAGCGUUAUCCGGAAUUAUUGGGCGUAAAGAGUACGUAGGUGGUCUUUUAAGCGCAGGGUUUAAGGCAAUGGCCUAACCAUUGUUCGCCUUGUGAACUGGAAGACUUGAGUGU